rnacentral:rRNA from 1 species
CCUACGGGAGGCAGCAGUGGGGAAUAUUGGACAAUGGGGGCAACCCUGAUCCAGCCAUGCCGCGUGUGUGAAGAAGGCCCUCGGGUUGUAAAGCACUUUCAGUGAGGAAGAACGCCUGGUGGUUAAUACCCAUCAGGAAAGACAUCACUCUCAGAAGAAGCACCGGCUAACUCCGUGCCAGCAGCCGCGGUAAUACGGAGGGUGCGAGCGUUAAUCGGAAUUACUGGGCGUAAAGCGCGCGUAGGUGGCUUGAUAAGCCGGUUGUGAAAGCCCCGGGCUCAACCUGGGAACGGCAUCCGGAACUGUCAAGCUAGAGUGCAGGAGAGGAAGGUAGAAUUCCCGGUGUAGCGGUGAAAUGCGUAGAGAUCGGGAGGAAUACCAGUGGCGAAGGCGGCCUUCUGGACUGACACUGACACUGAGGUGCGAAAGCGUGGGUAGCAAACAGGAUUAGAUACCCGAGUAGUC